rnacentral:lncRNA from 1 species
AGGCCAGCAAGCCUUUGAAAUGAUACAUGCCUACAUCCUAAGCUGACCCUUUAUCACAUCUGUCAUUAUAAAAGUGAUAAGGUGACACGCAUGGAAAAAUGGCUCUUUAGACUUCGGACUGCUUGUGAAACAAUGUCUCUGUCCACUUGCUACUGUUGUCUCUUGCCCCCCAAACCAGGAAGGGGAUGUUACUAUGAGACCUGCCUCCUCUGUGACUGGUCAUCAAGGAAACGCUCUUGCUGCCCCAGGGACUGUACCACCAUGCUGGCAUCACUGCACCUCUGCAUGGUGAUUGUCCAGCCAGAAGCGACAGUGAUCAGCAGGUUUAUGCAACCUCCGUAAAUAUUUCUUGCCAGUCUGUUUACUCCACACCUGUGGGGCUGAGAAGGUGGCUCAUCAUCUCUUUGCCAAGGCCAAUGGUUCUGUACCUGUUAAUAUAUGAAGUCUGGUCCAGUAUAAGCUGGGGCAUUUGGGUGCAGAAAGCAUUCUGCAUUUGGAGCUGGUUCCCUUUCUUCUUCUGAAAUUAUGAGCACAUUUCUGCAGGACCAAUUGGAGUCUCAGGGGAAAAACAUCUUCUGUUCUGGAUUUAUUUUUCUAUCUGUAACAUAUAUAAUUAGUAAAAUGAGGUAAAGUGAAUACUGAGACAAUCACAUCUACAGAUUGAAUCAUUUUCAUAACAUGUUUCAAAAGGUAAAGCAGAAGAUUAGGGUAGGUUCUAGCCCUCCUGAGCCAGUGUGAGCAGUUUUAACCUGAAUAUGUUGGACUUUUCCCAAAGCUCUUGAAUUACAUGUAACUCAAGUCUUAGCCCCCUUGAGGUAGGAAGGCACAGUACUUGCAUCCCCCAGAGUACCUGGUACCUGUGUACCCUCUCCAGGGGCUGCCCUCGCUUUGUUCCCCUAGCUUCCCUUCUCACCACUGAUAAUACAGCCUGGAGCCCCUCCUCCCCUCCGAUCAGUGACCAGAGCCGUCUUCACCCCGAAAGUGGACACAUACCUCCUAGGAUCCCACAGCAGAAUUCACCCCAAACGUGGGAGCCGUGACCGUGUAUCCUGGAUAAUCGUCCUUCGAGGACAGCCUCAUCAGCUGAAAUUGCUCUCACCUCGUCCCCAGUCGGCAGUGAUUUAUGUUUUAGAAUCAUUUGAAACUGAUGUUUUACAGAAAUGGAAUCUAUCUGGCUUGUAUAGUUUAGACCUGUAAGGAAGGAAAAAUAAUUUUACCCACACAAUUUCAGGUUCUUUGCUGAGACCCCCCUGUGGUAAAAGACAGAUUACCAGGAAAAAAAAACCAGUUUAAUAGCAUGUAUACCUCCCAUAUACAUGGGAGAUACCCAGGCAAGCUGAGUAACUCCCGGCAAUGGCCCAAGCCACCACCUCCAGUCCUCCAAGUCUCCAGCUAAAGACAAAAGGUGGUGUUGGGGGUGCGAGAGCCAGUGACAACAGGUGACCUAGAAAAGCACAGUCAACACGGGCGAGGUAGUUAUGCAGACUUGAGUGCUUGGCUUCUCCAUUGAUAAGACUUCUGUGAGACUUAAGGUCAUCCUUUCCUCCAUGGUACGGAGAGGGGGACCCCCUGACACAUGGAGGUCCCCCCAAUAAAUGUACAUGUCUCUUACAGAGGGAAACUUCUACUCAGUUUUCAGAACUUCUCCUGUGCCUGCUGUUGCUUAAAAAUAAUCAGCCUCAAGAUAAUCCUUACACCAAGUAGUCAUGUUUAGGGGUGUCAUAUUCUGUUCCCUCCAACCUAGUGGACUUUUUUAUUUUUUAAAUGAUUUUUAUUUUUUUCCAUUAUAGUUGGUUUACAGUGUUCUGUCAGUUUCUACCAUACAGUAAAGUGAUCCAGUCACUCAUAUAUAUACAUUCUUUUUCUCACAUUAGCCUCCAUCAUGUUUCAUCAUAAGUGACUAGAUAUAGCCCCCUGUGCUAAACAGCAGGAUCUCAUGGCUUAUCCACUCCGAAUGCAAUAGUUUGCAUCUAUUAACCCCAGACUCGGAGUCCAUUCCACUCUCUCCUCUUCCCCCUCAGCAACCACAAGUCUCUUCUCCAAGUCCAUGAGUUUCUUUUCUGUGGAAAGGUUCAUUUGUGCCAUAUAUUAGAUUCUAUAUAUAAGUGCUAUAAUAUGGUAUUUCUUUUUCCCUUUCUGACUUACUUCACUUUGUAUGAGAGUCUCUCGUUCCAUCCAUGUUGCUGCAAAUGGCAUUAUUUUGUUCUUUUUAAUAGCUGACUAGUAUUCCUUUGUGUAUAUCUACCACACCUUCUUAAUCCAUUCCAGUGGACUUGAGACAUCAUUGCCUAAAAGUCUUACUUGUAAGGAGAGAUGAUUCCAGAGAAAUUAUGUAGCAUGCCCUGGAUAUGCCAUGAACCUCAUAUGUUGCUGUUUUCAUAAUGCAUCACUUCUCUUGUAGUAUCAUUUGAAAACACAUUCAGCAUCAAAGAGCAUGUUACAUAUUUUUAACCAGUAAACCAAAAGAGUUUCUGAAAUGUUAGAUUUUUCUUUAGGUAUUAAGAUAAAAUUCAUUGCAAAAGUUUUCUCUGAAAAUGAGACCCUUAAAAAUAUGUGAGUAUAUUUCCAUACAAUGCAGCAUGGAAAAGUGUGGUCCUUAAGGUUCAUUUCUGUCCUGUUUUUCUUUUAGAAACCUUAAGGGGGGGGUUUGAAUAGUUUCAACAAAGCAUAAUGUUAUGCCAAAUGAAUUUUGUGUUUAGAGAUUCUUAGUCUAAAAGGAAUUUAAGCAGAACCAUUUGAUGGUAUAACACUUCGACUCUGAUAAAGCAAAAGCAGUUGAUGAGCUAUCAUGAUAGACAAAGCAAUCUGAAGUUCUGUCAAAGUCAAUGAAUUUCUGUACAGAAUUUUUCACAUAGCACAUUUCAAAUGGUCUUGGGGUAGAAAGUCAGAACCCUCCCUUGAAAAAUCCAUUUAUACCCAUCUAGAGAUAGCCAUAAGCAACUUAAAGGAAACAAAAAAACCUUAAAAUUUGUUUUUCCCCUUAAAUAUGAAGCUUAUUCUUAAGAACUUGGAGAUAAUUUCCUAAAAAUGAUUUCAUUAUCAAAUAGUUUUGAUUUAUUACCAAGAUCAAAACUCAGUGUAGCUAAUUGCCUUUUCUUUAUCUAAGAGGUUCAUCAUUAUUGAAGCUGCAUUAAAAAAAAAAAAGAAUAUCAAGAACAAAAGAGAAAUGCACAUUACCUUCCUUUUCAAAAUAGUUGUAGUUUUCUUACAAUCUUAUUCAAUAAUAGUUUCUAGCUCUUUUUGAUUAGUAGAAAGGCACAUCUGCUUUUUUUUUUUUAUAACUAAAAGUGCCUUCAGAACUGUCUUCCUUUUUAUUGUCAUUAUCAAAACCAUGAAAAAAAGCAUAGCGUGAAAAAAAUUUUGAAGAGCAAAAAGUGAAAGUUAAAAGAAACUAUAAAAGAAAUAGCAGCUGUAUCUGUCAUGACAAUAAGUGUAAAUUAGUCCUCAUCCCAAGAAAAAAAAUUGUAACAAUGUGUGGUGAUGGAUAUUAACUAGACUUACGGUAGUGAUCUUUUUGCAGCAGAUACAAAUACCAAAUCAUGAUGGAUGUUGUGUACCUGAAACUAAUAUAAUGUUAUAUGUUAGCUUAAAAAAUAACUGUAGAUGAGAUAUAUUUAUCCGCCUGUUAAAAACAAAAGAUUCUCACACUUAAGUUCACACACACCCAAAAAGAUUGCAGUGAGCAGAACUAGCAACUACCACCAUAUUCCAGAGAAAUCAGUUUAAAAAAAAAAAAGUAAAAAAAAAAG